ACGGGACCCGCACAAGCGGUGGAUGAUGUGGAUUAAUUCGAUGCAACGCGAAAACCUUACCUACCCUUGACAUGUCCGGAAUCCCGAAGAGAUUUGGGAGUGCUCGAAAGAGAACCUGCACACAGGUGCUGCAUGGCUGUCGUCAGCUCGUGUCGUGAGAUGUUGGGUUAAGUCCCGCAACGAGCGCAACCCUUGCCAUUAGUUGCUACGAAAGGGCACUCUAAUGGGACUGCCGGUGACAAACCGGAGGAAGGUGGGGAUGACGUCAAGUCCUCAUGGCCCUUAUAGGUGGGGCUACACACGUCAUACAAUGGCCGGUACAGAGGGUAGCCAACCCGCGAGGGGGAGCCAAUCCCACAAAGCCGGUCGUAGUCCGGAUCGCAGUCUGCAACUCGACUGCGUGAAGUCGGAAUCGCUAGUAAUCGCGGAUCAGCAUGUCGCGGUGAAUACGUUCCCGGGUCUU
rnacentral:rRNA from 1 species